UGUGCUUCAACUAAAGAAAUGACAUUGGAGCAAGCAACAGAUUGAGGCACCCAUGUAUCAAGAAUAUAAAGACCAUUAGAUACAUGUCCUUUACCAAUAAUCUGCUUCGUCAUAAGAUCUUGGAAAAGACAAUGAUCAAGAAAAAAUGAUAUACAACAGUUAAGAUCCUUGAUAAGUCUACCAAUAGAAAUCAAAUUAAAAGCAAGUUUGGGUAGACUUAAAACAGAUGACAGGGUAAUAGAGGGGAUUGGUUUAACAAUUCCAGAUCCCACAAUAUUAUAGGUUGAUCCAUCGGCUAUGGUGAUUGGAGAGGGAGCUUUGUGUGAUCGAAAGCUAGAGAAAGUGUUAGGAUUACCUGUCAUGUGGUCUGUGGCACCUGAAUCAAUCACCCAAUUGUUUGAAGAGGAGAUAAGACAUAUUUUACCUAACUCAGCAAGGGAAAUAACUGAAGUAGAUUCCUUCAGUAAUUCUUGAUAUUAUGAAAAUUUAGCACUCAUCAGUUGAUAUCAUAACACAGGCAGAGACGGAUGUCCCAACUAUCCCGCCAAGGCAUGAAGUGGGAUCUCUGGCUCUGGCUUCAUCUCCUGUCUCGAGGUCUCCCCUAGCUCGUCAUGUUGUUGGUCUGUGAUGUCUUUGUAGACCUCUUGGUCGGCAUUGGUGUGCCCCUCCAGUAGCAAUAAUUGUGGUCGUUGACAGCGGUGACCAGCCGUGAAGCUUUCAUUGCAAUUAAAGCAUAGCUCUUGUACUGGAGUCUAUGCAUUUCGUCCCAGGUAAGUCUUUUAAUUAGUGCAGCAAGUAUAUUAGGUGUCACAUGAGCUGGUGGAGCUGGGAGAGCCUUCACAAAUGGUGGAGGUCGCAUGAACUUUCGCUACUUUGUGAGUUGUUCGUCUUGCAUUUGGGCUAAACUAAUGGCGUCUUUCAGCGUCCUUGGUUUAAACAUCCAAAUUCCUUCAACUAUAUCAGGUUUGAGUCCUCCCAUGAAGGUACCCACCAAAGCCUUUUGUGUCCACCCAUGCACGCGGUUCUCUAGUCUUUCGAAUUCCUGUUGGUAAUCACGUAGAGAACCCAUUUGCCGAAUGUGUGAGGGGGCUUCAUCAAAGUCUUCUCCUUCAGUGGGACCAAAUCGUGCCCACAAUUCCUCUUUGAAUGCAGCCCACGACGCUUUCCUGCCUUCUUCCUUGUAUGUCCGCUAAAGCCACCUCCACCGAUUAGCUUCACCUUCCAUGUGAAAGGAAGCCAGAUACCAGAUUUUCCUUUGUUCCUUGGAAUUCAAAAAACUGGUCCACCCUUAAGAGCCAUUCUGGUGGGUC
rnacentral:lncRNA from 1 species